GCAGAGUAGAUAAGAUGCGUUAAGUGUGGCAAAAUGGGAUGUCGUUUGUCAACGAAAGGCGCGAGCCUGCGGUAUCUUAUCGCGUCCGUUG
rnacentral:ncRNA from 1 species